GAUGAACGCUAGCGGCAGGCUUAAUACAUGCAAGUUGAGGGGCAGCAUGAUAUACGCGAGUAUAUUGAUGGCGACCGGCGGACGGGUGAGUAAUAGGUAGGAGACCUACCUCAUACAGGGGGAUAGCAUAGAGAAAUCUGUGGUAAUACCCCAUGAGGUUAUAUGAAUAGAGGCAUAUAAUCAAAAGCAUAAGCGAUUAUGCGGUAUGAGAGGGGCCUACUGACCAUUAGCUAGUUGGUGAGGUAAGGGCUCACCAAGGCGAAGAUGGUUAGGGGUUUUGAGAGAGAGACCCCCCACAUUGGAACUGAGAGACGGUCCAGACUCCUACGGGAGGCAGCAGUAGGGAAUAUUGGGCAAUGGGCGAAAAGCCUGACCCAAGCAAACGCCGCGUGAAGGAUGAAGUAUUCGGUAUGUAAACUUCGAAAGAAUAGGAAGAAAUUAAUGAGGUACUAUUUAUAAAGGUCCGGCUAAACUACGUGCCAGCAGCCGUCCGGUAAU
rnacentral:rRNA from 1 species